rnacentral:rRNA from 1 species
UACGUAGGCAGCGAGCGUUGUUCGGAGUUACUGGGCGUAAAGGGUGCGUAGGCGGUUUUGCAUGUUUGGUGUGAAAUCUCCCGGCUUAACUGGGAGGGUGCGCCGAAAACUGCAAGGCUCGAGUGCUGGAGAGGAGAGCGGAAUUCCUGGUGUAGCGGUGAAAUGCGUAGAUAUCAGGAGGAACACCGGUGGUGUAGACGGCUCUCUGGACAGUAACUGACGCUGAGACACGAAAGCGUGGGGAGCAAACAGG